UAGAUUUUAAAAUGAGUUUCACCGAAUAUAUAAUAGUGUAUAAUUAUUCCUCUAUAUUUAGGAUUGGUUUGGCAUACAUGAAAAAAGACAAAAAAUUAUUAAAAAAGUCAAAAAGUUACUCCAACUAUAUGGAUUGGGUGGCAAAAAUCUGUCUGAAUCUGCAGAGGGUAAAAAGACAUUUCUGCCCUUGCUUUUGAGUGGUGCCUCUGAGACGGAUAUAUGACAAUACACCAUCUCUCACCUGAAAGUUCUCAUUUCCUUCUCUAAGCUACACUCGUCGUUGAACAAGCAAGAUAGUCCCUCAGUCGAUUCAACGAGGCUAGUCUAUCACCCUUACACCGCCAACGGCCGGAGAUCCGUCACACCCUUCUUACAGCACCGCCACAACCGUGCCAAAGUCAGACCUCGACGCGAUCGCAUGACAAUAGUAAUCGAUGGGAAAGACCAUCCGUCGUCCAGAUCUGUACCACCGCUGACCAGAUCUACACCACUUCGGCCUGUAUCUCCCAAACUAGAAUACCAUGGCUUCGUUUGUAUUGUCUGCUACUUGUACGCGGACAACACCCUUCUGUGUGUGUGGUUUUGGCCCGUUUGUUGUGAAGAUUUCAAGAUCUUCGAGAAAUUCGGGGUCGUGCAUACUACCAAUGCCCUCGUGUAGUGGUGAGUAUUUAACAGUUAUGCAUUUAUAUGUUUUCGAACUACACUAAUACAUGUGUCUAUUUAGCCAUGUCGUUCUUGGAUUGGCUAGUGUGACGACCAUGACCAAACAUCCGUGCAUGACACUCACAACUCAGUGUUGGACAUGGUCUUCCAGUUGAAGGCUGACAUCCUCAACCUGCAGCAUGUUUUGCGUCUCUUGCAAUUUGUGACGUUCGUCUUGUCUGUUGUUGUUGUAAUGUUGUUGUUGUUGCAUAGUUGAUGUGCUUCGGUUGUUAGGUUGUAUGUACUACCCACCUGCACAUUUGUUUUUUGAUUUCGUACAAUGUCUCCAAUGCGUAUUUCAAAUGGUUAAGCAAUAUGCUAUUUUCGGUUAUCCAUUAUGUUGCCAUGUUAUGAAUGCCCAUUUUACGUUUGUGAAAUACUUGUUUUUCCACGUAUACCACAAUUACUGCUGCAUUGUAAUAGCCAAAUGGAGCACGCCCAAACGCAGUCGACACCUUCCAAAAAUUUGCGUAAGCGAGGUAGUAAACAGACUCAGCUACAGUCCGCAUAUGUGCACAAAGCAGCUUGGGACUCUGACACAGUGUAGAUUUUCUUGCAACUUGUUAUCAAAGAGUUGGACUUUGGUUUCAAUGGUAGCUUCCAUACCAUGACAAUGCACGGAUACAGGGUUGUCUGCAAGGACUUCCAAAAGCGUACAAACAAGGUCCAUGAUGUGAAGCAAAUGUAAAACAAGUACGGGUUACUAAAAAAGGAUUGGCAGUCGUGGUCAUGCCUUAUGGACAGUAGGCAUGGGCCAACUGGCAUAAGUUACAACGAAGCAACUGGUUUGAUACAAACAUCUAAUGAAUAGUGGGCGAAUUAUGAAAAUGUAACAAUUCCAUAUUUUUUUACUUACGUAAAAGGUGAUACUCAUGCAUAUAUUACAAUCUUUAUUUGCUUAGAUCACAAAAAAAAAAAAAAAAAA